CGCCGCUCACACAGGGAGGAAGGAGCAGCGGUUAACGAGGGAGGCGAUGAAGAGAUACUUGAAGGAUCGGGGCGACCAGGUUCUCGUCAUCCUACACGCCAAGGUCGCGCAGAAGUCGUACGGCAACGAGAAGCGGUUCUUCUGGUCCGCCGCCGUUGCAUGGAUACCUGGUUUGGUG